rnacentral:rRNA from 1 species
GGGAGGAACAAAAUGACGUGUACCUGAAGAAUAAGCAUCGGCUAACUCCGUGCCAGCAGCCGCGGUAAGACGGAGGAUGCAAGUGUUAUCCGGAAUCACUGGGCGUAAAGCGUCUGUAGGUGGUUUAAUAAGUCAACUGUUAAAUCUUGAAGCUCAACUUCAAAAUCGCAGUCGAAACUAUUAAACUAGAGUAUAGUAGGGGUAAAGGGAAUUUCCAGUGGAGCGGUGAAAUGCGUAGAGAUUGGAAAGAACACCGAUGGCGAAGGCACUUUGCUGGGCUAUUACUAACGCUCAGAGACGAAAGCUAGGGUAGCAAAUGGGAUCAGAUACCCCAGUAGUCCUAGCUGUAAACAAUGGAUACUAGAUGUUGAACAGAUCGACCUGUGCAGUAUUAAAGCUAACGCGUUAAGUAUCCCGCCUGGGAAGUAUGCUCGCAAGAGUGAAACUCAAAAGGAAUUGGACGGA